rnacentral:misc_RNA from 1 species
CCGAGUGAGGGCCCUCUGGGUCCAACCUCCCACCCGUGUUUUAUCGUACCUCGUUGCUUCGGCGGGCCCGCCUCACGGCCGCCGGGGGGCUUCUGCCCUCGGGCCCGCGCCCGCCGAAGACACCAUUGAACGCUGUCUGAAGAUUGCAGUCUGAGCAAUUAGCUAAAUAAGUUA